UUGACAAAUGACAUGACAUAGCUUGUGCAGGACUGCAGAGAAGAGCAUGGUGGCAAGUCACAUGUCCACACUGAUGUGAGGAUGAGCCUUCAACAGUCAACCCAACCAGCGCAGUCCCAGCUACCACUCUGUUAAAAAGCCUCUGUGAAAUAAGUGGAAUAUAGUUCUGCGGUGCUUGAAAAUACAGUAAAUCACCAUUUGGAGACUUGUUCGUUUUGAACGGUGCUCACUGAUUUGUGGAACCUGUGCGGUUAGAACUGUAUCUCUUUGAACGAUGUACACGUUGCUGUAAUCAUGUCUAUUUCCGAGGUGAGGAAAGCCUGGCACGCUGUCAGGAAGCGCCGUGCCGCUCACACCGCAGGCUAGAGGAGCGCACGCUUGCUGUGCCUUCCAGAGCGCUGGUGCUGCAGCGUCCCCAGCUUACAGCUGCUUACAGUUCGGAUAAACGGCUGUUCUUCACAAGCGGGUUUAAAAGGGGAUGAAGGUAAAAUUUGGAAAAAGGAAUAAGAGAGAUAAGGAGGUUGGAGUCCUGGGGCGCUGGGCACAGAGCCUCACCGUGGCAGACUUGACGCAGGGAUCUGGAACGAGCUAUCCAGCCACGAUCGUGAGGCCAGCAGACGUUUUAAAGAAAAGCUGGAUCACAUCCUCAGAUAAAUUAAUUGGGCCAAAGGGCCUGCUCUUGUUUGGAUCUUUUCCUACGUUCAUUUGGAAGCAAAUAUCCAUAUGAGGACAAGUCAACGGAACAACGAGAGAUACUCAUCGUUCCCUUCAGUUCCAGUUCCUAUUUUCCCCACACAGUAAAGGAAGCUUUUUUAUUCUCCA